GGGAUCAAGCACACAAAACAAUCCCGACCGAAACACAUGAACUGCCUCUUCCUGACCAUCUGGACACGUUCUUCAAGGACCCUACCGUCUUCCUACCCCGGGGAUACCAUUUAAAACUCAAGAUGGUAAUUACAGAGACAGGAAUUCGUCAAGAUUCUCCGGGAACUACUCCUCUGAAACUGCAAUCUGGCCGCGCUGCUCUCCACCGAAUGCGCAUCGGGCGCGACCAAGAGGAAGGGGAAGCGUCGGGACUAGAGAAAGCCACCAAAGACAUGACCCAGAAUCACAGGUAGAAUUUACCUGUCCAUUCGC